GAUGAACGCUGGCGGCGUGCCUAAUACAUGCAAGUCGAGCGAACGGACGAGAAGCUUGCUUCUCUGAUGUUAGCGGCGGACGGGUGAGUAACACGUGGAUAACCUACCUAUAAGACUGGGAUAACUUCGGGAAACCGGAGCUAAUACCGGAUAAUAUUUUGAACCGCAUGGUUCAAAAGUGAAAGACGGUCUUGCUGUCACUUAUAGAUGGAUCCGCGCUGCAUUAGCUAGUUGGUAAGGUAACGGCUUACCAAGGCAACGAUGCAUAGCCGACCUGAGAGGGUGAUCGGCCACACUGGAACUGAGACACGGUCCAGACUCCUACGGGAGGCAGCAGUAGGGAAUCUUCCGCAAUGGGCGAAAGCCUGACGGAGCAACGCCGCGUGAGUGAUGAAGGUCUUCGGAUCGUAAAACUCUGUUAUUAGGGAAGAACAUAUGUGUAAGUAACUGUGCACAUCUUGACGGUACCUAAUCAGAAAGCCACGGCUAACUACGUGCCAGCAGCCGCGGUAAUACGUAGGUGGCAAGCGUUAUCCGGAAUUAUUGGGCGUAAAGCGCGCGUAGGCGGUUUUUUAAGUCUGAUGUGAAAGCCCACGGCUCAACCGUGGAGGGUCAUUGGAAACUGGAAAACUUGAGUGCAGAAGAGGAAAGUGGAAUUCCAUGUGUAGCGGUGAAAUGCGCAGAGAUAUGGAGGAACACCAGUGGCGAAGGCGACUUUCUGGUCUGUAACUGACGCUGAUGUGCGAAAGCGUGGGGAUCAAACAGGAUUAGAUACCCUGGUAGUCCACGCCGUAAACGAUGAGUGCUAAGUGUUAGGGGGUUUCCGCCCCUCAGUGCUGCAGCUAACGCAUUAAGCACUCCGCCUGGGGAGUACGACCGCAAGGUUGAAACUCAAAGGAAUUGACGGGGACCCGCACAAGCGGUGGAGCAUGUGGUUUAAUUCGAAGCAACGCGAAGAACCUUACCAAAUCUUGACAUCCUUUGACAACUCUAGAGAUAGAGCUUUCCCCUUCGGGGGACAAAGUGACAGGUGGUGCAUGGUUGUCGUCAGCUCGUGUCGUGAGAUGUUGGGUUAAGUCCCGCAACGAGCGCAACCCUUAAGCUUAGUUGCCAUCAUUAAGUUGGGCACUCUAAGUUGACUGCCGGUGACAAACCGGAGGAAGGUGGGGAUGACGUCAAAUCAUCAUGCCCCUUAUGAUUUGGGCUACACACGUGCUACAAUGGACAAUACAAAGGGCAGCGAAACCGCGAGGUCAAGCAAAUCCCAUAAAGUUGUUCUCAGUUCGGAUUGUAGUCUGCAACUCGACUACAUGAAGCUGGAAUCGCUAGUAAUCGUAGAUCAGCAUGCUACGGUGAAUACGUUCCCGGGUCU
rnacentral:rRNA from 1 species